GUCACAGGAGAACCUGUGACAGUCUGAGAGAGGGAUGGGCCUCAGAGGCCACAGGCCCAACCCAGUCUCCUCGUCAUCACCUCAGUCUUCACAGUAAUUCUGCAAGAAGGACUGGCUGUUGUCUCCAUUUUACGGAUGAGGAAGCGGGGGCCCCAGAGAGGCAGUGAGACGGACACUUGUCACACAGCUUGUGAGGGCAGAUCCGGGAUGUGAACCAGUUAUGGGACCUGUUGGAUGACAUUGGGCCACCCAUCCAGGAACACACCAUGUGGAGUUGCGUCACUUAACGACAUCUGCAGAGCCCUUGGCCGUAUAAGAUAACGUAGGCACAAUUCAGGAACGAGGAGGUGGUGUCUGUGUGUGUCGUGGCGGGAGAGCUUGCUCGGUCCUCAGGUGGGUAGAAAAAAUCAAGAGGGUCAGGCUGGCAUUGCACUGGGAGUGACUGAGAACCCCACCCAGGACCUGCAUGUGUGGGACCAGGCAAGGAACGAAGGUCUCUAUCAGAACUCCAGUGCUCUGGAAGGAGACAGUGGCCAGUGGGGAACACUGCUUGUGAUCAGCUCAGGACUGGGAUCCACAGGUCAGGUUCAAAUCCUACCCCUUCCUCCUCCCAGGGACCAGAGUAUGGUUGUGACGGGGAGCAGGGAGGGACUGGAAAGGAGGAAAUAAACAGACGCAUUCACGUGACCCGAUUUCAUCUCUACCACAGCCUGCCAAGCAAACUCCUGCCUCAUUUUGCAAAUGUGAAAACAACAGCUCAGAGAGAUCAAGCACUUUUCCUGAGAUCACACAGCCACUUAGGGAGCUCGGAUUUCCCAGGCCCUGGGAUUUCCACUCCAGCUACUUGGCUGUCUGCUACAUCUGUGUGCAUGUUAGACUUUUAACAUAUUUUCUUUAAAUCAGCUUACUGCUUUUUAAUUUAAAUGCAUCUGUUUUUAAAUGAAACUAUGUUUCUCCCAUAAGUGGAAUUCAUGGGCUAGUUAUGUACAUUUUUGUACUGCACAUUAAAAUGAGUUUAUCACUAUAAAAAUGAAAAAUGUUCAUUCAUAGAUCAUAAAAUUGUGUCACACACCA